rnacentral:ncRNA from 1 species
GGACGACAAUAGCACACCCGGAGCAAUCCGGGGCCGCAAAGCGAUGGGUCCGCCGCGGCGGAUCGCCAAGCUACCGAA